GGUUAGGUGUUAGGAAGAAAUUCUUUACUUUGAGUGUGGCAAAGAACGAACAGUGCUUUGUUAUUGUGUACUUUUGAGUCUGGUUUGUGAAAGAGCACCUUAAAAAGCCAAUCAAUACGUGCCUGUUUUUAGUCUUACCAAAGAGGAAUCACCACCUGCUGGAUCACAGCUUUCACUUCCUUUGUUGCUAGAGUUUUUUUAAUUUUUUCUCUUAUGUUAGUCUGGCUCUGUGGGCUUGACGUUAUGACCAACACCAAAAAAGUCAUGCUAGAGAUGUAGCCGGGGAGCGUAGAGGCAGGUCUAUGGGCAGGGACUUUGUGGACUGAGGUAUGUGGAGAAGUGGAGGAGCCUCCCCUGUAAACUAAUGUUGUGGGGAGAGUUAUAUUGAUCAAAAUGGAAAGAACACCAGAAGGAAUAACAAUAGAUUGGAACAAUUGUGCAGAGGCAAAUACCCUUCUCAGUCACUGGCUUUGUAAUCAGCUUGUUUCAUAAAGCCACCUUCUUUGCCUUCUGGUCUGAAAGAACUGAAAAAUCAAGAUAUAUAUCAUCAUUUCUGUGGCAGCAGUUUGGUGUUUUUCCUCAAGGUACAGUAGUGCAUAUGUGUUGGAGAGUGAAGCGAGUGGGCUUUUUUGUUCUUAGGAAGCUAAACGCUUCCACUUAAGGAGCAGUGUAUUGCACGACUCACCUGCAUUUAUUUUGCUGACACUUCUUAACAUUUAAAGGC
rnacentral:lncRNA from 1 species